rnacentral:rRNA from 1 species
GACGAACGCUGGCGGCGUGCUUAACACAUGCAAGUCGAACGGAAAGGCCCUGCCUUUGUGGGGUGCUCGAGUGGCGAACGGGUGAGUAACACGUGAGUAACCUGCCCUUGACUCUGGGAUAACUUCAGGAAACUGGGGCUAAUACCGGAUAGGAGCUCCUGCUGCAUGGUGGGGGUUGGAAAGUUUCGGCGGUUGGGUAUGGAUUCGCGGCGUAUCAGCUUGUUGGUGGGGUAGUGGCUUACCAAGGCUUCGACGGGUAGCCGGCCUGAGAGGGUGACCGGCCACAUUGGGACUGAGAUACGGCCCAGACUCCUGCGAGAGGCAGCAGUGGGGAAUAGUGCACAAUGGGCGGAAGCCGGAUGCAGCGACGCCGCGUGCGGGAUGACGGCCUUCGGGUUGUGAACCGCUUUCGCCUGUGACGAAGCGUGGGUGACGGUAAUGGGUAAAGAAGCACCGGCUAACUACGUG